UACGGAGGAUCCAAGCGUUAUCCGGAAUUACUGGGCGUAAAGAGUUGCGUAGGCGGCAUAGUAAGCAAGGUGUGAAAUCGUGUGGCUCAACCAUACACACAUACUUUGAACUGCUAAGCUAGAGAAUGGAAGAGGUCGCUAGAAUUCCUGGUGUAGGGGUGAAAUCCGUAGAUAUCAGGAGGAAUACCGAUGGCGUAGGCAGGCGACUGGUCCAUUUCUGACGCUCAGGCACGAAAGCGUGGGGAGCGAUCGGG
rnacentral:rRNA from 1 species